UCUCCGUAGAUGAUGUUCAAAAAAAAAAGUCUUCGUAGAUCACUCAUCUUCUCCCGCCCGUAACAGCAACUUCCCAACUUUUCUGCCGCGAGAAGCCCUAGAAGAAUCUCUUAAUCCAUAAUCGGUGGCGGCGCCUUCCAUUCCAAAUCUCCGCCUAGUGCAGGGGCAGGGUUGAUGGAUCCUCGAUGGACUGCAAAAGCCUAUGAGAUCCGCAUGAAGGUCAUCUGCACCAAUCCCUGCCACACCGACAUCAUCUUCUCGCAAGGCAAGGAUCUUCUAGGACACGAGGCCUGUGGUUAAGUUUCUCGGAUUUUGCCGCUGAUUAGUACGUGAAGGCGGCCGGGGACAAAGGCAAAUGUAUAAGAUGUAACGAACACACACUCUGUGAAUUUGGGUGGUGCUGCGUGCAGGGUGGUGGUGAGCUUGCCGGAGCACGUAGAGGGGUCUACGGUGGGGGACACGGUGGGGGGCCAACAUUCGUGUACCAGUGCUACUCGUGCAGCAGCAGAGCGUUUGAGUGGAAGAACGUGUGCACUAUGCUGUCAUUCGUCGUCGGCCCCGGGAUGCUCCGCGACGGCACCAUCAAGUUCAGGGACAGCCAUGGGGCAUUUUGCUGCUCGUCUUCCUCUGUUUUGUGGUUUGUGUUUUUUGCAUUUCUGUUGAUUUAUGUAUAUUUUUUAAGGGGAACUUAGUCAUAUUCCUACACUAGACUGAAGAUGCAGAAGUUAGAAGUUACAUGGAUACUAGACCAAGGAGGAACAGUUAGAUACCUAGGCAAGUACGAGGAUAUUCUUUCUUACAUCGCCCAUCUUAUUUAGAAAUAUACUAGAAACUGAUUACACAAUCUUCAACAUUGCAGUCUCUAAUUUUUCUCUUUGAAACAACACGGACUACUAUUGAAAAAGUUGCUUGCCACUUAGGACCAUAAUCUUAUACUUGAAAUACUGAACCAUCUCCCUGGAGAAAAUUUAUUUGCUUGUCAUAUAUAUUGGCAGUACGAACUUGCAUCAAAUUCACAGUAUCCGGAUUAACUUAGAAGGUUCAUAUUCAGAAAAACCAUUUUAGGCUAGAGACCUUUGUUCGAGUAAUGAUCUUCUGAUGACUGGCAGCCCAGCUACUGCAUGAUUGUAACAGCAGAACUUAAAAUUUACUUCUCUGGUCCACCCAGGGUAUUAUCUGAGGCGACGACUUGUCUAGACAUAUUUUAUUUCAGUAUAUAUACAUUUGAAAUAAUGAUUCGUGGACUUCUAAGUUACCAAUCCAUAUUAUAUAUGAAUAUGCAGGUUAAUUACAAAAUUUACCAAUCCGUACUAUGAAUCUGCAGGUUAAUUACAAAAUGUAUAUAUACUAAAUUGGAUUAUUAAUAGCAAUCCUAAAUAUUUUUAUUAUCUACCAUAUGCCUUCAUCUUUUUUUCCCACCUUAUUUGUACAAGAGAACACUUACGGGAGUACCAUACUAUACUGUAACUGAAACUUAUGACAAACUAAUAACAUAAUGCUUGCACAUACUGCCCAUUCAGUUUCACAAAGCAUUUUAAAUCUGCUUUUUUUUUGGCAUAUCUUCCUAUUACUACCGCUAAAUGUAGAAAUUAUACAUCAGUCAUGCCUUCUUUUCUAUUGUUUUCGAGCAUAUAAUGCCUCUAAAAAUGGAUAAGAGCCAGUGCAUCUUUAAUUCCUAAAUUUUGGAAUAUCAAUUAUUUUCUCCUUAAUGUCUUAUGUUUGCAACUCAGCAUACAACAUAGCUAUAUAUUUUAAUAGGUUAACGAUGUGACAUCAAGCUAUCUAUGAAGUUUUAUGUUUGUUUUUCUUUUUGCAAUAAUCACACAAUGCAUCUAGUCUUCAUAACUGCAACCUAGAUCAUCUGGAAGGAAAGAAAUCACAAGAUAUUUUGGAAUAUUGACCCAUCAUUUGAUUCCUGGAAAACUAUAUUUAAGUGAGAUUAUUCCCUUCUGCUACAUAGAGCCAAGGGUGAUCUAGGGCCAGCUAUAUUCUCUGUUGUAAAUUCAGUAAACUAGCUAACCUUUUUUUUUUGUUUUUAUUCUUCGCCUAACUCUUCCUUUGGCUUACCACCUCAUUCUUCAUUGGUUAUAUGGUGCUGGGUUUGAGGGUGGCAGCCUCGGUUGGACAACAGAUGUAAGAUUGCGAAGAUAAACUAAUAUGCAUGGCUCGGGUGUGGAUUGCAAGGUCGAGAAUGAAGCUACUACUAGAUAGUUCCACAUGAUGUUUUAGAUUUUUUUUGCAAGAUCAAUGCUUCAAACAUUAUGUUUUUACAAUGGCUGAGAUGUUAAUUGCAAGGACGAGAAUUAGGCCGCUGCUACUAGAUAGUUCACAUCUUGUAAUCUUUGG